GGCCUAAUGGAUAAGGCGUUUGACUUCGAAUCAAAAAGAUUGCAGGUUCGAGUCCUGCCAGGGUCA
rnacentral:tRNA from 1 species